rnacentral:rRNA from 1 species
CGCGGCCUAUCAGCUUGUUGGUGAGGUAAUGGCUCACCAAGGCGACGACGGGUAGCCGGCCUGAGAGGGUGACCGGCCACACUAGGACUGAGACACGGCCCAGACUCCUACGGGAGGCAGCAGUGGGGAAUAUUGCACAAUGGGCGAAAGCCUGAUGCAGCGACGCCGCGUGAGGGAUGACGGCCUUCGGGUUGUAAACCUCUUUCAGUAGGGAAGAAGCGAAAGUGACGGUACCUGCAGAAGAAGCGCCGGCUAACUACGUGCCAGCAGCCGCGGUAAUACGUAGGGCGCAAGCGUUAUCCGGAAUUAUUGGGCGUAAAGAGCUCGUAGGCGGUUUGUCGCGUCUGCCGUGAAAGUCCGGGGCUCAACUCCGGAUCUGCGGUGGGUACGGGCAGACUAGAGUGAUGUAGGGGAGACUGGAAUUCCUGGUGUAGCGGUGAAAUGCGCAGAUAUCAGGAGGAACACCGAUGGCGAAGGCAGGUCUCUGGGCAUUAACUGACGCUGAGGAGCGAAAGCAUGGGGAGCGAACAGGAUUAGAUACCCUGGUAGUCCAUGCCGUAAACGUUGGGCACUAAGUGUGGGGGACAUUCCACGUUUUCCGUACCGUAGCUAACGCAUUAAGUGCCCCGCCUGGGGAGUACGG